rnacentral:rRNA from 1 species
UACGUAGGGCGCAAGCGUUUGUCCGGAAUUAUUGGGCGUAAAGAGCUCGUAGGCGGUGUGUCGCGUCGGAUGUGAAAGCCCGGGGCUUAACCCCCGGGUCUGCAUUCGAUACGGGCAGACUGGAGUGUGGUAGGGGAGAUCGGAAUUCCUGGUGUAGCGGUGAAAAUGCGCAGAUAUCAGGAGGAACACCGGUGGCGAAGGCGGAUCUCUGGGCCAUUACUGACGCUGAGGAGCGAAAGCGUGGGGAGCGAACAGG